GCGCCCGCCCCGCAGCCCGCGCCCGCCCGCCGCAAGUUUGUUCCCCGCCGCUGCGGCCUGCGCGGAGAGAGGAUCGCGCGCGGGGAGGCGCCGAGGGGCAGCAAGAGUGGAGAAAGUGCGGAAAGAAGCAACAGCCGCUCCACCCGCGGGCGGAAAAGUGGCCGGGCGCGGCGGCGGGAUGCGGCGCAGCUAACGGUCCCCGGCGGCCGCCGGAGCCGCUAGGCGCAGAGGCAGGCUGGCACCUGCGCAGUGGGAGAGAGUUCUUGUCACUGGUGACUCAUCGUGCAGUGAGCACAAGGAAGAGCAAGGGGAUAGUGUCUCACAAGUGUAGGGCUGGAGCUACAGGAACCAUCCAGGUGCACUGGCUUGGCCUCUGCGUCUUUCUGUGCCACUGUCUCAUUCUGUUUCCGGCUGUGCGUGGAUGCGGAUGGUCCAGAGAGAAAGUGGUGUGAACUUCUCCUGGGACCAUCUGUCCCUCCCAGCAGCUCCAGAGCCACACUGCCUUGGAAGACCCGACAGACAGAUUGCUCCACCUUGA
ensembl:processed_transcript Gm10125 predicted gene 10125